rnacentral:lncRNA from 1 species
AUCUUUUUCCCGUCUGCAGCGUUGUCACAUCCGAUCUCCCGUUCCUUCCGGCAGAGAAAGCGGAUCCGGGCGGGUCAGCGGAGCAGGCUGUGCCUCGGGGCUCCUCGCCUCAAGUACAAAAGACUCGACUCAACUCACGUUAGUCGUCGAGGUGGCCUAUCGGUGGUGACGGACUGCCAGCUCGUUCCAGCCCAAACACAUGCUUCAGCUAAAUCCUGUGCAUCUCAUCAUUCUCGCUCUCUAGCUGUUUCGAUAUGUAUGGGGGAGACAGAGAUGUCACAUCACUCACUCACAAAUCCUGCUGCUGUUCCCAAGCAUGCUGCGAAUGGAACAGGAAGUGGCCCAGCUGAACUGGAGGCUGCCUGACGCAGCAAGAUACACUAACUGCCAGUUACCCAUUAUUAGAAGUUACACUGAACUGAGCAGCUGAACAAGUCUGAAUUGCUGACCCACAUAGAUUGAUUGGUUUGGAUUUUGCAGACCUUCUCAACUUGCCUCUUCCCUGUGAAUCAUUUUGUUGUGAGACAGUCCUGUUGAAAUCUGCAGACAUCUGAAGUAAGAUUUGCUUUGCUCUGGGGUGUUCUUGUUUCGUUGUUCUUCUAUGACUUAAAAUUUCAGCAUUAAAAAUUGUCAUGUUAAAAAGAAAGAUGCGAGCUGAGCAGUUUGAUUUCUAGAAGGGAGGAGGAAGCUGAGGCAAGAGUUGUUCUUAUCACUCCAUCUCUAGAGGUCUCAUUCGCACAUCCCAUUUGCCCCUGUUUAAGAGAAGGUUCUGUUCCUCAUUGAUUUCGAUUAGUUCAACAGUUUUUCUUAACCCUGUUUCAUAGGUAAGAAUGGACAAAUGUACAAAUUGUAGUAAAGUGAAUGGAGUAAGAUCUACAGUGCAUUUAAAAGCAGUAAUAUACAAAGAAUCAACAAAGUACUUAAUUUAAUACACAGUGAUUUGUGUGGACUGAUAAAAGUUCCUUCAAUAGGAGGAAACCAAUACAGUCGUGCCCCGCUUAAUGAUUACCCCACAUUAC